AAGUGGGGAUGACGUCAAGUCCUCAUGGCCCUUAUAGGUGGGGCUACACACGUCAUACAAUGGCUGGUACAAAGGGUUGCCAGCCCGCAGGGGGAGCCAAUCCCAUAAAGCCAGUCGUAGUCCGGAUCGCAGUCUGCAACUCGACUGCGUGAAGUCGGAAUCGCUAGUAAUCGUGGAUCAGCAUGUCACGGUGAAUACGUUCCCGGGUCUU
rnacentral:rRNA from 1 species